AAAAUUGUAUUUUUAUUUUUUUUUCGUUUCUUUUUUUCGUACAUCAGCCGCUUUCCACCAGCGAACUUUUCUUUUGCUUUUGCUUCAUGUGCAAAACGCAACAGAAAAACGAGAAAGAAAUUGCAGCAC
rnacentral:ribozyme from 13 species